UAUUUGGUCCCACGAAAAAAAGUGUAAACAGAGGGAAACAAUUUGGCGGAAUUAGACCGAUUUGCGCCAUCACAAUAAGAGGGAAGAGAAACUGCGAAUAAAACCAUCAACAACACAGAACUCCACCUGUUGUCCAGCACUAGAGUGUUUAAAAUGUUUAAAGGCAUUCCCUGUGAUCGGCCAAGCGGCGACAGUUUAUCUUUCUAAUUAUGUACUUAUAUAGACUAUUACAUGUAGUUGUCAAAUCUUUCAGAAAUUUGUUCGGUCGAAUGAGUUUAAUUUAAUUGAAUCUAUAAAAAAUUCCUUCUUACUUAAAAAAAAAUUAAAGCUAUAUCAUUUCCGAUCGUUCAAUUAAAUGGCAGCUACAAGA